AGCUCACGUAAGUGGAAUCUUAGGGUAUUUGAGUUUCUGUGACGUGGUUAGUUCACUUAGCAGCAAGUCCAGAACGAUCUUCUUGUCUAAGCCUGGACAACACCACACUGUACAUAGAUGUUCAAUAUUCUUCAUCCAUCCUCUGUCUGUGGAUGUGCGGGCUGCUUCUACCUCUUGACUCUUGAGAAUUACACAGCAAUGUAUGGGGAUGUUCAUAAGUUGCUUCCAAUUCCUAUGGAUAUAAAACCUGAGCUGAGUUUGUGCAAUCACAUGGUGAGACAAGCUGAGCGUCAUCGUCAGGAAGAAGGCAGCUGACGGUCCACUUCCAGUGUGACUCUUUCAUCUAGAUGAUACUUCCAGAUUCUUUGUUCAUCAUCUGCUGAAAAGCACGUGUGACCCAAGCCAGUGCGGUCCCCAGAAACCCAUCGUGAAUUCCAUAUUGUCUGACAGAACGUCUUACACGUGGACUCUCAGACUCAGUAUAUUCAAGC